GAGCGAUCCAGAUUAUCCUCAUCCUUGCCAGCUUUUGGAUUUCUCAGGAUUCUCUUGUUCCUGUUCCACUGAGGAUCCUCGAGGUGGCCUACAUUGUAUAGAACCUGGAUUGAGAGGCUGCUCACCCCACUGGGCACAAUUAUCAUUUCAAAAUGGAAUUCCAAGGUCACGUGGUUAGCGUAUGAAAGGCUCAGACACGGGCAUUCAUUGCUGCACUGUCAGAGAGGAGAAGAGGAGAAGUGCAGGACGUCAGAGA
rnacentral:lncRNA from 1 species